rnacentral:lncRNA from 1 species
GAAACAAAUUCGAAAGUACAUAUUUUCCUAUAAUCAAAAGAACUGGACUAAACACUAGAAAAUGACGAGGGUUAAGAUAAAUCUAGAAAAAAAAACAUGUUACUGGAGACAUGUAAAUAAACAGUAACAUAACACACUGUGAUAGGGAGAUAUGUUUACUCACUACAAAUCUAAAAUAACCAUUCCAUUACACAUUUCAUCCACAACUAGCACGGCCGACACAGGAGCCACAACAUGAUAAAAUGUGUCCUUACAAAAAGGGUUAUAUUAAUAAAAGUAUAUAGUAUACCAAUAGUGGUACAAGAUCACAUCACACACCUUAAAGAAAGCGCAAAAGAACAGCAUUUUGAUUGCAGUUCCUUUAAAAUAUGGAAGCCACAUCAAGGCUUUAAAAAAAGAAACGCUUCACCUCUUGAGAAAUUCGUGUUAGCGUUAGAAAAGUUUCCCCAUGGAAUUUUAGAUGCAGUUUAACAACAGGUGGGCAAGAUGCAGUAACAAGAAACAAAUUCAUACAUUAAAAAAAGACGAAACAUACUAAAAUUACAUUCAAAGAUCCGGAGAUAAAAGGCCAAUAAUAUGAAAGGGAAAAAACUAAGUACAAUGAAAAGACAAAUAUUAUAAAAUAGAUAUGGUUGAUAAUCAAUGGGAAAAAGUUCAAAUGACGAGGAUUAAAUCAGCUAAAAGUCACUGAUCGGCCUUCAACGAUGAGCAUAACUGUCCGCUAUUAAAUGCCCCGACAUGACAAAAUGUGAAAUAAUUCAGCCCUCAAAAUACUACACACAACAUUUUGAGGAGUUGUCGCUAAGUUAAACAAAUUAGGAAUUCUGGCAUACAACCAGAUAGUAUUUACACUUUACGCCAG